rnacentral:rRNA from 1 species
CCUACGGGAGGCAGCAGUGGGGAAUUUUGGACAAUGGGCGCAAGCCUGAUCCAGCAAUGCCGCGUGAGUGAAGAAGGCCUUCGGGUUGUAAAGCUCUUUUGUCAGGGAAGAAACGGUGGGGGCUAAUAUCUCCUACUAAUGACGGUACCUGAAGAAUAAGCACCGGCUAACUACGUGCCAGCAGCCGCGGUAAUACGUAGGGUGCAAGCGUUAAUCGGAAUUACUGGGCGUAAAGCGUGCGCAGGCGGUUUUGUAAGUCUGUCGUGAAAGCCCCGGGCUCAACCUGGGAAUUGCGAUGGAGACUGCAAGGCUUGAAUCUGGCAGAGGGGGGUAGAAUUCCACGUGUAGCAGUGAAAUGCGUAGAGAUGUGGAGGAACACCGAUGGCGAAGGCAGCCCCCUGGGUCAAGAUUGACGCUCAUGCACGAAAGCGUGGGGAGCAAACAGGAUUAGAUACCCUGGUAGUCCACGCCCUAAACGAUGUCUACUAGUUGUCGGGUUUUAAUUAACUUGGUAACGCAGCUAACGCGUGAAGUAGACCGCCUGGGGAGUACGGUCGCAAGAUUAAAACUCAAAUGAAAUUGACGG